CACCCGGGCAAAAAUUCUAAAAGUAAAGAAGAAGCAGAGUGGACAUUCAAACACGUGGCUGAGGCAUACGAGAUAUUAUCGGAUGCUAGAAAGUGGGACAUCUGUGACAAAUACAGCAAAGGAUUAAAUGGCAGUGGAGGAGGAGGAGGUGGAAGUCAUUUUGACAGUCCGUUUGAGUUUGGCUUCACAUUCCAGAGCCCAGAUGAUGUCUUCAGGGAAUUUUUUGGUGGAGGGGACCCAUUUUCAUUUGAGUACCAUUUCCUUUGAAGAUCCAUUCAUGUUUUUUGGAAAUGGAAGGGGUCCCUGAGGUGCCGCUCCUUCUUUUGGAGGUGGAUUUCCUGCUUUUGAUACAGGCUUUACUCCAUUUGGGUCACUAAGUCAUGGGGAUCUUACUUCAUUCUCUUCAGCGUCAUUUGGCGGCAGUGGAAUGGGAAACUUCAAAUCAAUAUCAACUUCAACUAAGAUAGUUAAUGGCAAAAAAUCACGAUGAAGAGAAUUGUGGAGAAUGGUCAAGAAAGAGUAGAAGUUGAAGACAGUGUUAAAGUCCUCGAUGAUAAAUGGUAAGGAGCACUUGCUACGCUUGAAUAACAAGUAA